rnacentral:rRNA from 1 species
UAGGCCUACGGGGGGCAGCAGUGGGGAAUAUUGCACAAUGGGGGAAACCCUGAUGCAGCAACGCCGCGUGAGUGAAGAAGUAUUUCGGUAUGUAAAGCUCUAUCAGCAGGGAAGAAGAUGACGGUACCUGAGUAAGAAGCCCCGGCUAACUACGUGCCAGCAGCCGCGGUAAUACGGAGGAUGCGAGCGUUAUCCGGAUUUAUUGGGUUUAAAGGGUGCGCAGGCGGUCUGUUAAGUCAGCGGUCAAAGCCCGGGGCUCAACCCCGGCCCGCCGGUGAAACUGGCAGUCUCGAGUUGGAGAGAAG